AACCAAUGUCCAUGCAUUGUUGAUCUUCAUGGACUAUAUUUUAAAUUUUAUGGCUUCAAGUCAUUUUUCAGAGUCGGAUCUCUGCAUUGCAUCCAUGUAGAUGAUUGGAUCCUUAUUAUUUUCAUCGAGCUCAAUAGGAUCUUCAUCUCAGACCAAGAAAUCUAGGUAUCUAUUUGGUUGAUGCGGUACUCUAACAGAUCACCUUAAGAAUAUUUGUAUAUUGGGCUUCAGGUUUGAUCUUAUCAAAUCUGGUUC
rnacentral:lncRNA from 1 species